AUUCCCCCUUUUCAAAACACCCAUUUCCACCAAUCUCCAUUUCCAGUUUUCCUAUUCAACUUCAAACCUCCCUCUGUUGCAAUCCAUCUUUUGCUCCGUCGAAUCGCCGUCGUUGACUCCGAUCACCGGAAGCAGAGAUGAGCAGACAUGAUUCAAAGUAUUUCUCCACCACUAAAAAAGGCGAAAUCCCUGAGCUUAAAGAAGAACUCAAUUCAUAGUACAAGAUCCAUCUAAGAGUUCCAUUCGUGAUUGAGAAAAAACGUUGCAACAUCAUCAUAUAUGUUGCGAGUGGGCUACAUUACCUUCAUAAAAGAAGCCAAUUCUGCCUCGAGACAUGGUCAAGGCUAGGAUUGGAAUAUCGUGUAUACCUGUACACGAUAAGACACGACACGAUAAGACACGAUACACGAACUAGCUAACAUCCUGACAGAUGGAUUAAUCCGCACAAAAGAAGAAAUGAGUUCUCAUGCUGUUGUAAUUACAUGGAUUUUUCUCGGGCGGGAUAAUAACCGACUUAGUGUUCAGUUUAAAAAUUCAUAUGGAGUAAGGAGGAGAGUUCUGGGGCAAGCACGGGUAACUGAUGCCUUUUUCAAGAAGAUUGGAGUACCAGAGAUGUCGGAAUAGGUAAUUUUGACACAUUUAAAGGUAGUGUAAUGUUUAAUAUAAUUAGGUGUGGGUUAAUUGACCCCUCCGACGAACCAUUUUUUUAUAAAGUAUCCGACGGAGAUUUGUUUUCAAGUUAACCCUUAAAUUUUUUAUUGAAGAGCGAAAAUUAAGAGAAAAGAGAAAAGAAAGGAUAGUUAAUAAAGAGAAGAAAAGAUCCGGUGGCCACGGUGACCCAUGGUUGGUCAAGGGGAGGUUAAAGUUUGAGAUGAUGGUCAAAGAGAGCGUCAGAAUAUAGAGAAUAGAGACUGUUUAACCUUCACGUGAAAUCCAACGGUGGACUUAAAGAUAGAGACGGCGGUGCCAUGUGGUGGUCUACGAUGUAUGAUGGUGAGAGGAGAUAUUGGCGUUGAGAGCUCCCCAUCUACCUCUGUACACCACGGCUACAAGGUUAACGAUGGCGGAGUGAUGGUUGUUAUGGCUAUCUGUGGCGGAGUCAUAGUUUUGUAGAAAAGAAAGUCAUGGUUUUGUAGAAAAGAAAAUUUGUAGUUUGUGAAAACUGAAAAGUAAGAUAUGGAAGAGAGAUUUGGGAGUUUUGGAUACAGUACAAGAAAUUCAAAUUUAGUUAAUAAUUCAAUUGAAAUCCGAAAUUUAGCUG